UACGUAGGUGGCAAGCGUUGUCCGGAAUUAUUGGGCGUAAAGCGCGCGCAGGCGAUCCUUUAAGUCUGAUGUGAAAGCCCACGGCUCAACCGUGGAGGGUCAUUGGAAACUGGGGAACUUGAGUGCAGAAGAGGAAAGUGGAAUUCCAAGUGUAGCGGUGAAAUGCGUAGAGAUUUGGAGGAACACCAGUGGCGAAGGCGACUUUCUGGUCUGUAACUGACACUGAGGCGCGAAAGCGUGGGUAGCAAACAGG
rnacentral:rRNA from 1 species